rnacentral:lncRNA from 1 species
UUUAAAUGAAUGGAAGAUGAGAAUCAUGUGAUAAAAAAAAGUCUGCAAAAACAAGAUAAAUUAGUGAGAAAGACAUGAGACAAAAAAAUGAAAAAUUGAUAAAACAAAUUGGUGUUUUUAAGUUCAAAAAUAUUAGAAAGAAGUUGAAAAGUGUUAGUUUGAAAAAAUGUAAGAGCUUUAUGCAACAAAAGGUUACCAAAUGAAAAAAAAAAUAAUAUAUGAAAAUUUACCAAAACGCUGAGAUCUGUUGUGAAAGAAAAGAGCAUGGAAGAAGACUUCCAAGAAGCCUUCCAAGAAGUCUUGUGGUGCAUUAUAUUUUAGAAGACUUCCGAGAAGUCUUCCAGAGUCUGACCCAGAUCUGAAAAACUUGUAUAUCCAAAAACGUUUAAAUGGCU